CCUAUCAAGCGUUCUCUUUUACUGGUGGAGGCAAUUUCUGGUGAUUUGGAUACCCAAAUCCGAACCCUGAUACACGGACGCUCUAUCAUGCACUUAAGUUUUAAAGAAUUCCGCGCUUUAAUGCGGUCAGCUCAAGUCAUCUGGCGUGCUUGGGAUGAGAAUGUGAAGGAAUUUACAAAUGUUGCUCGUGAUGCUAUAAGACGGCGGAAUGAGAAGUUCAUCUCCAUCAAAGUGGAACCCAGACAUAGCGCCAUUCAAGAUCGAUUGAAGUACAUCAAUACCUUCCGCAACAACCACGAACAGCUGCAACGAACUAUCGUGAACGUUCUUGGACCUAACGCAAACAUGUCAGCAGGUGCUGGUACUGAUGGAACUGUGACCGCGGAGGAAAUUGGUGAUGUCGAUGCCCUGGAUGAAGUUUCUCAAGCAUAUGCGUCUUUGAAGGAUGUCGACGUUCUAGACGUAUCUGAAGAAGGUACUCAAAUAUGGAUCCAGGCCGAAGCUUCAUAUAAUGAGCGCACUUCUAGAGUGGAAAAUUCAAUAAUCGCCCAACUCAAGGACCGCCUGGCUACCGCGAAGAACGCUACGGAGAUGUUCCGUGUCUUUUCAAAAUUCAAUGCCCUGCUUGUCCGACCCAAGAUUCGAAGUGCUAUUAGUAUACACCAAUCUGAAUUAAUCGAGCUAGUUAAGCACGAUAUUGCAAAACUGCAUGAGAGAUUCAAGCAACAGUAUGGUCAUUCUCAAGCACAUCCCAUGGCGCAGCUACGAGAUCUUCCUCCGGUAUCAGGUGCAAUUGUCUGGGCUCGUCAGAUUGAACGGCAACUUGAUGGCUAUAUGAGAAAGGUCGAGGACGUUCUGGGAGAAGACUGGGACUUGCACGCUGAAGGGCAGAAACUCCAGGCUGAAAGUAACAUGUUCCGAAAGAAGCUUGAUACGCGACCUAUAUUUCAGAACUGGUUACAGGAUGUUCAGCGACGAAAUAUUACGAUUUCCGGCCGCUUGUUUAAGAUUUUCCGCAAUCGUGCCACGGGAAACACUUUGGAACUAGAUGUUAAUUUCGACCCGCAGAUUAUUGUGCUUUUCAAGGAAGUUAGAAACCUUGUCUGGCUCAAUUAUCAAGUUCCUCAUGCUAUCAACACGAUUUCCAAAGAAGCGAAACGAGUGUACCCAUACGCCAUCAGUUUAAUUGAAAGUGUCCGAACUGCCUUGCAAACAAUGCGUUCGAUCUCAUCUAUGGCUGAGGUUUCCAUUCUUUUGAGUGGGUACAAAAACGACGUCCAGGCUUUAAUCAUGAAGGGUCUUCCAUUGCGCUGGGAGUCAUUUAUACAUUCUUAUGAACUCCACAUCAAGCAGGUGAUGGCCAAUGGGGC
rnacentral:sRNA from 1 species